CCUACGUGGUGCAGCAGUGAGGAAUAUUGGUCAAUGGACGAGAGUCUGAACCAGCCAAGUAGCGUGAAGGAUGACUGCCCUAUGGGUUGUAAACUUCUUUUAUAUGGGGAUAAAGUGUUCCACGUGUGUGAUUCUUUAUGUACCAUAUGAAUAAGGAUCGUCUAACUCCGUGCCAGCAGCCGCUGUAAUACGGAGGAUUCGAGCGUUAUCCGGAUUUAUUGGGUUUAAAGGGUGCGUAGGUGGUUUGUUAAGUCAGUUGUGAAAGUUUGCGGCUCAACCGUAAAAUUGCAGUUGAAACUGGCAGUCUUGAGUACAGUAGAGGUGGGCGGAAUGCGUGGUGUAGCGGUGAAAUGCUUAGAUAUCACGAAGAACUCCGAUUGCGAAGGCAGUUCACUGGACUGCAACUGACGCUGAGGCACGAAAGUGUGGGUAUCAAACAGGAUUAGAUACCCCUGUAGUC
rnacentral:rRNA from 1 species